GGCGGCAGAUUUGCACAAGAAUCUGGACGCACCAACAUUGUUUGAGCUUACGCACACAAAGAAGCAUGACAGAAAUACAUAUGUUGACAAGAAAAGUGCUGAAAUUGCUGAAAAGCUCAAGACACUUCGCGCUGAGCGUUCCCAGCCUGUAGAUGGCUCAUCCGAACCUCAGCUAAUUAAUGGGAACAAGUUAUAUUAUCAAGCGGUUUGUGGACCUAACAAGCGUAAUAGGAUAUAUGGCUUAGGUUCAUCUCAGGAUAUCUUUUAUGAGCCAACUAGUAGCACGAUUGCUCAUUUAAGCUCUGUCCAGCCUAAUAGUCAAGAUUAUCACAACUAGAGACCGAGCUCGAGGAGAUGAAGGAACGAAUUAAAGAGAUGGAUGAAAUGAAGCAGCGGAUGAGGGAGAUGGAGAGCCAAAUAGCGAAGAUGCUGCAGUGUUAGAAUCAGAAUUAGUAGCUAGUUUUACGGAUAACAUUUUGGUGGAUGGCUUGAUUAUUGGAUGACUGCUUUUAAAAGGGGUGGCAUGUUUUUGUUGGUCAGUUGGAUAUGGAGCACAAGUGACGGAUUCUUUGACUGGACUGUUAAGCAGU